UCAAUAGGUAGCCAAUCACACCUAGAAAAAAGAUUGGUGGUGACUCCUAAUGUGUUUUCAUCACGUCUGGCAGUCGGGUUCUCAGACCCGUACGUUACGACAAAUAUUAUUCUUGUGCUAAGCCAAAAGGGUAUUUUAUUCCAUGAGAUAUAUAAUUACUUUGAAACCAGCAAAAGCUAAUUGCCAUGUAAGAACAGAGAAAACACCAAAGUUGCCAUGGCAACCUAAAAUCUAAGAACACAUGCAACUGCGAAAACUUACCCCAUAGGAGAAACUCUUCAGCUCUCUAGCCAACAUAUCUCUAAAUUUUUCCACAACUAAUUCUUCAUCACAAUUUUCAGUAAGACCCAAUUCCACCCCGAAUGCCGAUUGGAACCUCGCAAGGCUUAGCAUCAGCUUCCGCACCUCCCUGGUGAGCGACAAUUAUUAAAUCUCGCAUUUCAAGAAAUCAUAAGUUGUUUCCAAAUCAAAAUAAUAAAAUAUUAUUUUUUUGCUCACAAGGACAUUUUCAUUAUUUUUCUUUGAAAAUACAGAAACCCACCAAAAACAUGGUGUAAAAGCUAAAUAUGUUCAUACAUACUUUAAAUCAGAUAAUUGAAGUAUAAAAUUACUUUUACAGUGACACGUGGGCCCCCAACUGACCAAGAAGGUGUAGGGCUACGAACCCUUACUUUCUAGGAUGUAACUCCGAGAUUAAUUCUCGUCUUAAUCAACUAUCAACAAACUGUCCUGAGUCUGAAAAAUAGAUAGGAAGAGGGGUGAGAUUACAUAAUCCCAGUGAGUAAACAAACACCACCUAAACUAUCUAAAGGCGAGUAAAUGGAGACAAUUAAAAAAAUUCAUUUCAGCAAAUUUUUCACAACACGAAUAUUCAUUUCAACCAAAUAAUCAAUAUGACUCGUGAAUUUCUCAAAACUUGGCUCAUGCCAAAUCCUGUACUCGGGGACACCUGGACCAAGGGUAUCCAACCGAGUCUGCCAAGGCUGUGAAAAAUUUUAUAUAAUCAUAGAACUUGUUUUUAUUUUGAAAAAAAAGCAGUAGUUCCUUGGCGUUGACUGAGUCUCACUUCACGUGGUGGUUAACGUAAAGUACACUUAAAAAGCCCACCUCAGGAGAUACCCUACGCGCCUCUACUAUCGAAGUGAGAAUAUAAAGGAGUUUACCGUGCCCCUUUAAUAGGUUGGUCCACGAAACCCCGCCACUGUAGUAGCUAAUCUUUAAUCCACCAAUUGAUCAAAUCUCAAUGGCAUAGCAUGGCAAUUACAUUACUAAUCAAUUUAUCAAGGCAAAAUAGACAGUUCAUAUUUUUCAACACAAGUAUAAAUUCAAUCAAUCAUGCCAAUUUAUCACAAGCCAUUUAAUUCAAAUCAUAAUUUACAAUAAAUCACAUCAUCUCCAAUUACUCAAAUUUUCAAAUCCAACAUUCUAUUUUCAAAUCAAUUUAUAAGAAAUUUAAUUUAUUUUAUAAUUCCAUUUAUUUUAUAAUUCCAUUUAUUUUAUAAAUUCAUAUUUUUCUCAUAAAACAAAAAAUUCAUCAUUUAAAAUAAUUUUCACAAAUCACAAAAUUGAAUAAAAACUACUCUAGAUAAUUUAGAUGAUAAUAGGUUUACUCACAGUUCUAGGAGUCGAUGUAUUUCUAAUCUCAAUCUUCAAGCACAAUCUUUGUACUUUUAUCAGUGUAAUUUACUCACCACCUAUCCACAAUGUACAAUACAUAACUCACCACAUUAAUGCUUGACCAUUAUAAAAUCAAUUCAAGCUCGGCGUAUAUGCAUGAUAUGAUAUGUAACUUAUCCGACUACCGCUUAAAUGCGGUGCUGACCUAAUUUGACCUAUUACCCUAUUAAAUGACAAUUGUGUCCGAUUUGGCUCCAAAUUGCUCCAUUUCAUUUCUAGUACCUCAAUUCACCAAACAUUAUUCAAAUAACACCAAUUUCAGAAUCAAAACCCUUCCAUUUCUUCAUGGAAAAAUUUGGUCAUUACAGUACACUAACACCGUGAUUUUUCCUACUUAAUUUUCUCACCAUUAUUCAUCAUUUUCUAAGCCAUUUCUCUUGAAAUAAUAACAAUCCAUCGCCCACACACAUCAAGGAAGAUUCGACCAAUGAAGAUUCAUGGGGAAAAUGGAUUCUUUUCUUGUUGUUUUACUUCUAAAUAUGCUAAACUAACUAAAAACACUAACAUAUCUUAAAAUCAAUUCAAUCCAACAUCUUUCUCUCUCCUUACCCAUUUUGACCAGUCAUGAAUUCAUCAUGAAAACAUGUAAUUUAACCAUGAAAAUUAAGGGAAAAUGCAUGGGUAAGAUAAAUCACUAGCAAAAUCAAAGAAAUUUUACCUUUGCUUGAUCAAAUCCUUGAAUUCCAACACUUUCUCUUUGAUUUUUCCCACCUAGGGUUUGUUCUUCCUUGGUUUCUCUUCUCUUCUGGUUUGGC
rnacentral:lncRNA from 1 species